rnacentral:lncRNA from 1 species
AUGCUGCCGACUUCUGUCUCUUGUGUGUGUGUGUGUCUGAUUAAGAAGGAAGGAAGCACUUUAGGUCUCACCAUCUCGGGCGGAACAGACAAGGAUGGCAAACCACGCGUCUCCAACCUGCGGCCGGGUGGACUGGCGGCUAGGAGCGAUCAGCUCAAUGUGGGCGACUACAUCAAGUCAGUCAAUGGGAUCAACCUGACCAAGCUGCGUCACGACGAGAUCAUCAGUCUGCUAAAAAACGUAGGCGAGCGCGUCGUGCUGGAAGUGGAGUAUGAACUGCCUUCACCUGACAGUACCUCAGGUGUUAUUUCCAAGACAAUCGAGAUCUGUUUGCAGAAAGAGGGCAACAGUUUCGGCUUUGUUAUGCGAGGUGGAUCCCAUGAGGACUGGCACAGAUCUCGUCCUUUGGUGGUCACACACGUCCGACCUGGUGGUCCUGCUGACAGGGAAGGGACCCUAAAAGCAGGCGAUCGGAUCUUAAGUGUGGAUGGUGUGGUUUUACACAGUGCUAUUCUGAGCGAUGCUCUUACAGUACUGACUCAGUGUGGCCAGGAGGCCCUGUUCCAGAUAGAGUAUGAUGUCUCCAUCAUGGACUCGAUGACAAACGCUUCAGGUCCUCUGCUGGUGGAGAUUGCCAAGGCGCCCGGAGCCAGUCUGGGAAUCACUCUGACCACUGCCAUGCACAGGAACAAACAGGCCAUCGUCAUCGACAAGAUCAAGCCCGCCAGUGUGGUGGACAGGUCUGGAGCGUUACACGUGGGUGAUCAUAUCCUGUCUAUAGACGGCACCAGCACAGAGCACUGCUCCGUCCUGGAGGCCACGCAGCUGCUGGCCAGCACUACUGAUCAGACCAAACUAGAGAUCCUCCCCGCACACCAAACACGCCUGCCUGGGAAACCCCAGGACACUGCGGUAGUCUGCACUAACUUCUCUCCUGGGUCCACAACCACAUCAGGCAUGACCAGCCAGGGUUCCAGCACGCUGCCCCGGGCUGCUCCUCCCAUGAGCCCACGGAACUCCAUGCUAAAGAGACGACAAAGGAAAAAAGAGCACAAAAGCUCCUCUGUGUCUUUAGCCUCAAGUUCUGUGGGCCCUGGUGGUCAGAUCGUCCACACCGAGUCCAGUGAGGUCACUCUGAGAGGAGACCCUCUAAAUGGGUUUGGGGUUCAGCUGCAAGGUGGAAUAUUUGCGACAGAGACCCUCUCUGCACCCCCUCUUAUCCGCUUCAUAGAACCGGACAGCUCGGCCGAAAGGUACGUCCCAAAUAUUAACUCAACCGUGUACACAAAACACAGCCAUCCAUCCAGUAAGAAACCAGGAGAGCCUCUUAUCAUAUCUGACAUUAAAAAAGGCAGCAUGGCACACAGAACAGGAACUCUGGAGCCCGGAGACAAGCUGCUGGCCAUAGAUAACAUCCGUCUGGAGAACUGCUGCAUGGAGGACGCCGUCCAGAUCCUCCAGCAGAGCGAAGACCUGGUCAAACUCAAAAUCCGCAAGGAUGAGGACAACUCAGACGAGCAGGAGUCGUCCGGCUCCAUCAUCUACACGGUGGAGCUGAAGCGCUACGGCGGCCCGCUGGGCAUCACCAUCUCCGGCACCGAGGAGCCCUUUGACCCCAUCAUCAUCUCAGGCCUGACCAAGAGGGGUCUCGCUGAGAGGACUGGAGCCAUUCACGUUGGCGAUCGUAUUCUGGCCAUCAACAGCGUCAGUCUGAAGGGGAAGCCGCUCAGUGAAGCCAUACACCUGCUGCAGAUGGCAGGAGAAACCGUCACCCUCAAGAUCAAGAAGCAGACCGACAAUGAUCAAAAUAAAGAGAACGAUCUGGAUAACGAGCUCAGCGAUAACGAGGACGACAUGACCGACUCGCAGAAGACCAACAAACUGUCGGACAUUUAUUCCACCACCAUCCCCAGCGUGGAUUCGGCCAUGGAGUCGUGGGACGGCUCGGGAAUCGACGGCGGUUACAGCAGCCAAGGUGGCUACACGCAUCAGGCCGCUGGGAUUGCGCUACACCCUCACGAGUGGCGUAACAGCAAGCAGAGGAACAGCACACCUCCUCCGUCCCGCCACAAGAACUAUCCCUUCAGUGACGCGGGAUUCAGUGAGGACGACUGGGACAAAGCUGUCCUGGGCUGGUGCGGUUACACGUGGUCUGCGGUUCAGGAGGACAGUUUCUGGUGCCAGGCCCUGGAAGACCUGGAGACCUGCGGCCAGUCCGAGCUCCUGCGCGAGAUCGAGGCGUCAAUAAUGACCGGCAGCGCCCUGAGUUUGGGUGUAGAGGGUGGAAAGGCCCACGGCGAGACGGUCAGCCAACCUCACCUCAGCCCUCUGAGAAAAGCCCCACAUCUCCUCAACGAAACCAAGAACAAGAGCACGCUCCGUAUGUCCGAGAAGACCUGGGAGUCACGGAGGAUCAAAGAAGAGAUCCAGGACAUCCUGUCGCCCACACCGUUAGAGCUGCACAAGGUGACUGUGAUGAAGGACCCAGAGAGCGAUGACUUUGGAUUCAGCGUAUCGGACGGGUUCUUGGAAAAGGGUGUUUGCGUGAACAUGAUCAGGCCUGAAGGUCCGGCGGACCGUGCUGGACUCAAACCGUACGACAGGAUCCUUCAGGUGAACCACGUGCGGACGCGAGAUUUCGACUGCUGCUUAGCUGUGCCCCUCAUCACAGAGGCCGGAGACAAACUUGAGUUGGUGAUUAGCCGAAACCCAUUAGCACAGCUGGGUGUUGCCCAGCCCCACGACUGCCAGCCACACUUCAACCCCGUAGGCCAUUCCCGUGAGCACCAGACCAGCACGCUAGACCUGUGACCACUGGGUAACUCAGACUAUGACCACACCGGACCAUUUGUUGCAACAGACUAUCAGAAGGAGCCAUGAUUCACUGGUUUCAUUACAAAACUCAAAUGAACUGAAAUAUCCAGAUUAUAAGGAGUGAUCGUGGAAACUGUACAACAAAAGAUUUGAGCCAGUUUUCAGUACAAAACUCGAAAGGAUCUGAGCCAGUUUUUUAAAAACAGAACAAAACAAAACAAAAAUAUUGGACUACUACAAUGCAUACACCAUACAUGGACUUCGCCCAUCAAAUUUUUUUUUUUUACUAUGGAGCCUAGCACAUGAUAUGGGGGGAAAAUAUUAAUAUAAUGGCCACAAAAUAAGAAUUAAUUCUCAUGACUUAUUCUCCAAGUUUUCGUAAAUCGUGGCCACAAUGUACUGAUUAGGAGCCAUGAUUCACUGGUUUCAUUACAAAACUCAAAUGAACUGAAAUAUCCAGAUUAUAAGGAGUGAUCGUGGAAACUGUACAACAAAAGAUUUGAGCCAGUUUUCAGUACAAAACUCGAAAGGAUCUGAGCCAGUUUUUUAAAAACAGCACAAAACAAAACAAAAAUAUUGGACUACUACAAUGCAUACACCAUACAUGGACUUCGCCCAUCAAAAUUUUUUUUUUUACUAUGGAGCCUAGCACAUGAUAUGGGGGGAAAAUAUUAAUAUAAUGGCCACAAAAUAAGAAUUAAUUCUCAUGACUUAUUCUCCAAGUUUUCGUAAAUCGUGGCCACAAUGUACUGAUUCAGUUAACCGUGGUUAUGUUCUACUGAUUCAUUCCCUUGUUAUUUUAAAACAUGGUCAGAUAGUACUGAUUCAUUUUCUUGUUUUAGUAAGUUAUGGCCACGUAGUACUAAUUCAUUCCCUUGUUUUGGUAAACCGUGGUCUAAACGAAGGUAUGAAUUAGUGUAAUGUGACUGCAUUCAGCUAAAACGAGGAAACAUUUAAUUUAAUUCUUAAUUUGUGGCCAAGAUGUAGAUUUUUUCCCCUUACAGUUUUUUUUUUCUUUUCUUUUCUUUUUUUUGUUUGGUUUUAUUUUAUUAAUUUUUGUUUCGAUUUUUUUUUCUCUCGGAUAAAAACAUACUGUGUCCAAACGUUUACAAAAAAGAAAAAGAAUUCUGCUUUUGAUGUAGAUCGCCAUUAGACGUAAACAUUUUUAAAUGUUUCUUAUGUUUCCAAUUUCUAGUAGCAAGUGUUUUUACUUCCAAAACAAACUACAAAUUAAGCUUUAUUUUUGUUUUAGUCCUGGAUGAGUCACUGUAGGAAUACCUUCAGGCACACAUUGUCCUUUCUCACAAACACAUACACUACUACUAUAAACAGACAAAACACCACCAUUCUUUGUUCCCUAAACGCAUAAACAUUAUAGACUCCCUACAAAUAAACUUCAAUUUGCCUCUGUGUCA